AUGGCGCGCGGCAAGGUCGCUAUGAGGCUCGUCGAGAACGCGGGGGAGCGCGCCAGGAAGCACGCCAAGAGGGUCCCGGGGCUCAAGAAGAAGGCGUCGGAGCUCGCCACGCUCUGCGGGGUCCCGGUCGGGCUCGUCUGCGCCGGCGCUCGCGCCGGGGCUCCGCCGCUCGUCUGGGAGUCGGAGGAGGGCGUGCUCGAGAGGUACCGCCGCGCCGUCCCGCCGGAGGCCCGCGCGGGGCACACGCACCGGGCCUACCUCGAGGCGGAGCUGGCCAAGCGGAGGGCCAAGCUCGCCAGGGCGCGCCACGGCUGCCCCGCCGCGCUCCCGGACUGGGACGAGGCGCUCAACGACAUGACGCUGGACGACGCGCGGGCGCUGCUCCAGGCCAUCGACGCGGCGCUGCUGGCCACGGGAGACAGGAUAGUGGCGCUGGGCUUGCCUGCCGACGGCGGCCACAGCGCGCUUGAUCAGCAGGUCACGCCGGACUCUUCGGACGACGCCGUCAUGCCGCAGCAGAUCGGGCACGGUGGCGGCGUGCCAUGGACCGGAGGCGACCCCGUGGACAUGGCCGACGCCGCCGGCUUCCAGCAGCUGCAGAUGUACAACUACUCGGGCGGCGGCGACGGGAUGCUCACGCUGGGCCCCGCCAAUGCUGGCUGCAACUACUCAGGCGGCGGCGACGGGAUGCUCGCACCAGGCUUCGCCAAUGCUGUCUGCAACUACUCGAGCGGCGGCGGCCAGAUGCUCGCGCCGGGCUUCGGCAACGCGGACUACAAGUGGCCUGAUCUUACCAUGUGGCAAACCAACGAGAUGUGCGACGCGGCCAUGCCACCUGGGUACUACCCUGGCAUCGCCGACGGCACUCUGGCGCCUCAGCACUACUCCGCCGAGGUCGCCACCGGCGGCGACUAUGUGUACACACUGCCAUCUGGGUACGGCUACCCCAUGGGCAUGGGCAUGGGCAUGGGCGUGGGCGACGACAACUUCACCAAUCUGGAGAGCAACUACACGGCGGCGCAUUGGCAGGCCGAGGCGUUCCAGGGCUCCGACGCCAGCGCCAGCACCAGCACCAGCACCGGCGAGCUGCUGUCAGCUGCAUCAUCGCCUCAUUAUCGCAACUAG
rnacentral:rRNA from 1 species